CAGCUGCUGGAUCGGGUGAUCUGGGCUUACGGCGCCAAAGAGGGCCUGAAGUUCACGCUGUUCCGUCCGUUCAACUGGAUGGGGCCGC
rnacentral:tRNA from 1 species